CAAGCAUUGGAUAACAAGCACGUUGUUUCUUCAAGGGAAAUCCCGAAUGGAAAUAUCACAGCGAGCGAGUAGGCCAUGGACCCAAGAAGAAGACCAGAAGCUCAUUGAAUGUAAAACCAAUAAUCCCCAUCUAUCUUGGCCACAUAUCGCAAUGCUGGCAGGGCUGGGGAGGAGUCAGAAGAGUUGUAGGGAGAGGUGGGAACAGCAUUUGCAGAAUAAUCAUUGAGAUUGCUCCAUGGUCAUGAAUGCAUGUUAUAAUAAACCUGGGCUUCGUUUUAUGAUGAAGGGUUAGACCCAUUAAUUUCUGCAUAAUAUAAUGGUUGGCUUAUUGUACUCACCGAUGAAAUUAUUCAUCUUAUAAUAAACAUGUGUUUUGUAUUA